CGGCGCACGGGUGCGUAACGCGUAUGCAAUCUACCUUUUACAGGGGGAUAGCCCAGAGAAAUUUGGAUUAAUACCCCAUGGUAUAAUUGAAUGGCAUCAUUUAAUUAUUAAAGUCACAACGGUAAAAGAUGAGCAUGCGUCCCAUUAGCUAGUUGGUAAGGUAACGGCUUACCAAGGCUACGAUGGGUAGGGGUCCUGAGAGGGAGAUCCCCCACACUGGUACUGAGACACGGACCAGACUCCUACGGGAGGCAGCAGUGAGGAAUAUUGGACAAUGGGCGCAAGCCUGAUCCAGCCAUGCCGCGUGCAGGAUGACGGUCCUAUGGAUUGUAAACUGCUUUUGCACAAGAAGAAACACUGAUUCGUGAAUCAGCUUGACGGUACUGUAAGAAUAAGGAUCGGCUAACUCCGUGCCAGCAGCCGCGGUAAUACGGAGGAUCCAAGCGUUAUCCGGAAUCAUUGGGUUUAAAGGGUCCGUAGGCGGUUUGGUAACUCAGUGGUGAAAACCCAUCUC
rnacentral:rRNA from 1 species